CAAUCUUUUUUUUUACUAGCUUUAUAUUUCCAAACCAAUUUCUAAAUAUGACAUGUAGCAUUUUAAGUAUUACAUAUUAUAUUUAGCAGAUUACAUUUAGCAUAAUAUUAAUUUUCAACAUUAUACCUCCCAACCCCCACCUUACCCCAGACAGGGGAGGAAGGAAGCACUCCCAUUGGGCUGCUGGGCUAUGGGGUGAGUGAUGUGAGGAAUGUCCUCAGGUGAAUGGAGAGGGGCAGGGGAGUCUGGCUUUCUAAUAAUGAACUCUAGGGGGUGACUGCAGGCAUGUUCACAGAGAGGGCCCUGCAUGCCAUUUUUGGCACAAGUGCCAUAGAUUUGCCAUCAUUGGCUUAGGGAGACCAGGGAAGAAGGAUUCCGAGUUGGACUACCCUUAGAGUCUUACCUACAAUGGGAGAAACUUCUAAGGCAAAAGGGAAACAGACAGAGCAUUUACUAAAUGCAUACUCUGUGCCAACCACUGUGUCGUGUGCUGAGAAUACAAAAAAAGAAAUAAAACAAGGCAGUCCAUACUUUCAAGAAUUUUACAUUCUAAUAGGGGAAGAGAAGACACAAAGAAGAGGACCAAUGACGUCACCGUGCUAAGAAUGGGGACAAAAAAAGACCAUGAAAAGGACAUCUGACAUCCCUUCUGACCCCAAAUCUGUGAUCCUAUAACUGUGUCACUUUUGUGUUUAUAUCCUCAGUGCCCAGUGUAAUGCCUGGCAUGGAAUGAAUGCAGAAUAAAUGCUUAUUGAUUGGUUAACUGUUUCCA
rnacentral:lncRNA from 1 species